GCCCUAGUAGCUUAAGCCAAAGCGCCGGUUUUGUAAUCCGGAAACGGGAGUUAAAAUCCCCCCUAAGGCC
rnacentral:tRNA from 2 species